rnacentral:sRNA from 1 species
GGAAGAAUUAAAUUUAACAUAGUUAUAUAUUUUGGAUUUUGAAAAUAAAAUAAAACCUAUGUAGAUGAACCUCGAUUUUAUAAAGGAAAUACAUUUGAAGUGCUUAUAAAAAGAAAGAGUAAUUGGUUUAUUGAAGAUGUCAUGCCUCUGUUACUACUUGAGAAUGGAAUAACUUCUGUCUAAUCAUAAAAAUUGUAAUGCCAAUAUUGGUACUUUUUCAAAUUACUGUGUUCUCAUAAAGGUUUGCUUUUGUCCCAUUAGUUGGUUGAUCGUGUUUUUGAUGAAAGCCUCAACUUCCGAAAGAUUCCUCCAUUAGUUCAUUCUAAAACACCAGAAGGAAACAACGGUCGAUCUGGUGAUCCAAGACCUCAAGCAGCAGAGCCUCCUGAUCACUUAACAAUUACAAGGCGGAGAACCUGGAGCAGGGAUGAAGUCAUGGGAGAUAAUCUGCUGCUGUCAUCCGUCUUUCAGUUCUCUAAGAAGAUAAGACAAUCUAUAGAUAAGACAGCUGGAAAGAUCAGAAUAUUAUUUAAAGACAAAGAUCGGAAUUGGGAUGACAUAGAAAGCAAAUUAAGAGCCGAAAGUGAAGUCCCUAUUGUGAAAACCUCAAGCAUGGAGAUUUCUUCUAUCUUACAGGAACUGAAAAGAGUAGAAAAGCAGCUACAAGCAAUCAAUGCUAUGAUUGAUCCUGAUGGAACUUUGGAGGCUCUGAACAACAUGGGAUUUCCCAGUGCUAUGUUGCCAUCUCCACCGAAACAGAAGUCCAGCCCUGUGAAUAACCACCACAGCCCGGGUCAGACACCAACACUUGGCCAACCAGAAGCUAGGGCUCUUCAUCCUGCUGCUGUUUCAGCCUCAGCUGAAUUUGAGAAUGCUGAAUCUGAGGCUGAUUUCAGUAUACAUUUCAAUAGAUUCAACCCCGAUGGGGAAGAGGAAGAUGUUACAGCACAUGAAUGACUUUCUCUUGAUUGUUGAAAAAUCAUUACCUGUGGAAUGACUAGGAAUAUUGGAAGCAGCAUAGUGUUGACGUACACAAAACAAGACAGCUUGGUCAGCUACAAUCUUGGAAUCCCUGUCUUCUUAAUUUUAUUUAUUUAUUUUUGACAUAUAAUGUAGUAUAUCAAUCCUUUCAAACCAUUUAGAUAACCACUUGAUGCACAAAUAGGAAAAAGCAGAUUGUGGCAGUGUCGCCUUUUGUGGUUUUAUGAUUUUCAAAUUGAAUUUAAUGAUUACACCCUUUCCCUUCAUAGAUCUUUUUUCUUUUUUUUUAAGCCAUGCUGUGACCUACAAGCAAACUAAAUAGCCAACAUUUCUGAACCCCUGUGUCUCCUGUGCCAAGCUGCUCCCUGAAAUGGACUUCUUCAUCUGUACAGAUUUGUUAAACCAUUCUAUUUGCUUCUUAAUAAUAGGAUUUAUAUUAGUACUCAUUACCAUUGGACACAAUGACAUAAGUACUCUCCACAGUAAAGCAGACCUUUCACAACAGUCACUCUGUGUCCUAAAAUUUUCCAACAUAGAUGUGAUUUAUAUAACUUUGUUGAUACGUAAAUUGUCUUGGGGUUUACGGAAAUUAACUAUUAUGUUUGCACUAAGAUUUGCUGGGAGUGGUAGGUGGACAUAUCUAUAUAUCAAUAAGGACUAACCGUCUUUUUUGUACAUAGGAGAUUGAUAAUACUGUAUUUGUUUUAACCCCACAGUAUUUUACUCCACUUUCAAAAAGAUCAAUUUGGCACUUUUUUUCAUUUUUUUUUUAAUGGAAAUAAGAUUUGGUCUCUCAUUUUAGGUUAAAUGAUAACUAGAAAGAUUAAACUAGACAGAUAGUUUAGGUGGAGUAUAUUUUUAAAACUCAGAACAUGUAUAUUGGUCCUGUGUUACCAAGUUUAUAUGUGACAGUUGAAAAAAAAUUUCCCUUGAAAUGAUCAUGAGGUUAAAAUUUUCUUCAUUAGGAGACGUGGAGAACCAGUAGUCAUAAGAUUAGUUGAUAGUUUCACUCCCAAGCAAUGAAUUGCUUCUGUGUGUUUCCCUGUAGGACUCAAUAGUCAAUCCUGUCUGUCUUACACAUUUAUAAGGACCCUGCAAGACAACGACAAAGGCCUUUGGCCUGUGCUACUAAACAAGAAGCCUAUGAAAAAUUUCUUCUUUAAACUUGUUUUUUCUCUUUCCAGUAAGUUCACAUUUGGAUAAUUUUAAAAAGAAAUUACCUUUGUGUUUCCAGAACACUAUAAUUGGGGUGUAUCUUAAUUCAGUUAAAUAUUAUUAGUAGACCUGGAUUUUCCCCCUUGACCCCAUCAGUCUAUAAAGGUUAAACUGCAACUUUUAUGAAACGGUCUUUAAUAUUUCCACAAUAAUCCUGUGCUAUAUUUGUUUUAAGAAACAAAGUAACUCCAUAUACUUCAAGACUUUACAGGAUUUUUUAAAUCUUGUAUUGUUGGACCAAUUAAUAAAGAUGCAAAAAAACUUUAUAGAGAUGUAAAAACAAAACUAUAAUGGAUCUCCUAUUUUUCUUUAAAUUCAAAAAAGAAAAAGGUAAAUGAACUAUUCUCCUUGUAAAGCUAAAUUCCCCAUUCUGUCUAAUAAAGGAAGACUGAAAAAAGGUUUUAAAGAACAUAAAUGGAAAGAUACAAAUGCUUUGAAGGAAUAAACGAAACGUUAAAACAGGGUCAAUCCAUUUGAAGAAAAAGUUGGACAAAAUAAUCAGCAUUGCUCCCUCUUUUAUUUAAUAUUUGGGUACUGAUUAUAUCCACAUGGAAGUAGAAGGUAAGGAGUUUAGGAAAACAUUAGAAUCUGCUCUGCUUACAUUCUUGUUUAAGUGUUUACACAGUUUGGUUCAAUUAUAAACAUUUGGCCUUUUACUAUGUUAUUUUUAUUUUGUAUGAAUACAUUAUCCUCCUUAUUUAUUUUUGUUACAUUUAUUACUUAUGUUAUUUUGUUAUGCAUUUACAACUCCAUUUUUAAAUAAAGUGUUUCUGGAACUUU